rnacentral:misc_RNA from 1 species
GUAGUCAAAUUGAGAAAACAUUUAAUCAACUGGCACAUUCUGCAGUAAUUAUAUUUAACUUGGCAUACUGUGCAUUUUGCGGCUAAUUAGUGUAGUAUAACUAUUAUUUUAGCUUCAUUAAUGUGGAAAUUGCAUGGGCAAACAAUGGAUAAUUCUUACUCUUGGACAUGCAUUGAUUGGCUACUUCACCUUAGAAACCAUGAUGAAGCCGUUUUUGUUGUCUAAUUAAAAUGAAAUUGUACACCACUUAGAAGUCCUUAAUUUAAAUGUGUUGGAUUUAAUAGUUCUUCCAAAAUCAAUAACUCAGUCACCCAUAAUUGAUUUGCGGCUUCAAACAUUGAUCAUUAGAAUUUUUUUUUUUUUUG